GUGCUCGCUUCGGCAGCACGUACACUAAAAACUGGGAUGACGCAGAGAAGGUUAGCACGGCCCUUACGCAGGGAUGGCACAUGAAUUCGUGGAGCGUUCCGUAUUAAA